rnacentral:rRNA from 1 species
CCUACGGGGGGCAGCAGUGAGGAAUAUUGGUCAAUGGGCGAGAGCCUGAACCAGCCAAGUCGCGUGAAGGAUGACUGUCUUAUGGAUUGUAAACUUCUUUUGUAGGGGAAUAAAGAAUGGUACGUGUACCAUAGUGAAUGUACCCUACGAAUAAGCAUCGGCUAACUCCGUGCCAGCAGCCGCGGUAAUACGGAGGAUGCGAGCGUUAUCCGGAUUUAUUGGGUUUAAAGGGUGCGUAGGCGGCCUGUUAAGUCAGCGGUGAAAUCUAGGGGCUUAACUCCUAAAUUGCCAUUGAUACUGGUGGGCUUGAGUGUAGAUGAGGUAGGCGGAAUGCGUGGUGUAGCGGUGGAAUGCAUAGAUAUCACGCAGAACUCCAAUUGCGAAGGCAGCUUACUAAGGUACAACUGACGCUGAAGCACGAAAGCGUGGGUAUCAAACAGGAUUAGAUACCCGUGUAGUC